rnacentral:rRNA from 1 species
UACGUAGGGGGCUAGCGUUGUCCGGAUUUAUUGGGCGUAAAGAGCGUGUAGGCGGCCAUGUAGGUCCGGUGUGAAAACUCGAGGCUUAGCCUCGAGAUGUCAUCGGAAACCAUUUGGCUAGAGUCCGGAAGAGGAGAGUGGAAUUCCUGGUGUAGCGGUGAAAUGCGCAGAUAUCAGGAAGAACACCAAUGGCGAAAGCAGCUCUCUGGGACGGUACUGACGCUGAGACGCGAAAGCGUGGGGAGCGAACAGG